CUGUACUGUACUGUGUAUAUUGAGAUGCAGUGACAAUGUUUUGAAGGCCCGACAGAUGUCUAAAAUUGCUUUCAGUCAUUUCUUUUGAACUUUGGUGGAUAUCUUUUUUUUAAUUUUAACUAUAGAUGGAAUGCUGGUAAAAGAUGUGUUGGCUAGCCUUAUUAUGUCAUAACACCUUACUUUAGAAUCUUAAGUUUGAGGUCUGUCUGAUUCGUUUUUAAUUUACAUGUAACAGUGUAUAUACAUGUAUAGGACUCUGCGGUGUAAUGUUAACGCUGACGGCUGAAGCAUAAUUAAUGGUCACCCUGAAAACGAUAGACUGCGCUGAAGUUUGGGCAUGACAAUUUUUUAUUCCAU
rnacentral:lncRNA from 1 species